AUCGCUUCUCGGCCUUUUGGCUAAGAUCAAGUGUAGUAUCUGUUCUUAUCAGUUUAAUAUCUGAUAUGUCCUCUAUAAGAGGACUACAUAUUAAGCCGAUUUUUAGCUCUGGGAGAUGAAAAAGGGGCUUGCUCCGUUCACUCCAAGCAUCGACCCGGUAUUGCAGCACCUCCGGGAACGGUGCACCCUUC
rnacentral:snRNA from 11 species